rnacentral:rRNA from 1 species
UACGUAGGGUGCGAGCGUUGUCCGGAAUUACUGAGCGUAAAGAGCUCGUAGGCGGUUUGGUAAGUCGGGUGUGAAAACCCCAGGCUCAACCUGGGGACGCCACCUGAUACUGCUAUGACUUGAGUCUGGUAGGGGACCACGGAAUUCCUGGUGUAGCGGUGAAAUGCGCAGAUAUCAGGAGGAACACCGGUGGCGAAGGCGGUGGUCUGGGCCAGUACUGACGCUGAGGAGCGAAAGCGUGGGUAGCAAACAGG